rnacentral:rRNA from 4 species
AAAUUGAAGAGUUUGAUCAUGGCUCAGAUUGAACGCUGGCGGCAGGCCUAACACAUGCAAGUCGAACGGUAACAGAAAGCAG